UCCCUGGUGGCUCAGACGGUAAAGCGUCUGCCUGCAAUGCGGGAGACCUGGGUUUGAUCCCUGGGUUGGGAA
rnacentral:tRNA from 1 species